rnacentral:rRNA from 1 species
GACGAAGGGGGCUAGCGUUGUUCGGAAUUACUGGGCGUAAAGCGCAUGUAGGCGGUUUGGUAAGUCCGUUGUUGAAAGCCCCCGGCUCAACUGGGGGAGGUCAAUGGAGACUCCUAGACUUGAGGGCAACAGAGGCACAUGGAACUCCCGGUGUAGCGGUGGAAUGCGUAGAGAUCGGGAAGAACACCCGUGGCGAAGGCGGUGUGCUGGGUUGCAACUGACGGCUGAGAGUGCGAAAGUGUGGGUAGCAAACGGGAUUAAGAUGACCCUGGUAG